AUCUCGACUUCCAAGAAAAUUGAAACUCUACUUCCUCAUUUAAAACGGUAAAUAUAACUUCGCGUUUUCUUAGAAAAGACAACAUCUACGUCUUAAGAGCACGCAUUUUAUGCUAUCCUCGAGUUCGAGCGAUGUGUUUCAGAAAAUGAGGAGUGGAUUUUUUCGCUACAGAUGAAGGAAAGUUUAGAGAUAUAAGAAAAGAAGCGACACGUGCAUUUGAAGUUUUUUUUCUCGCUACUUACCGACUUUGUAGAAGCCUGGAAUGAUUUUAUCAAAGUUUGGAAUCUGUGAGGAAGAAUUCAGAUCUUCUGUUUUUAACUUAGUUACAGUAGAAAAGACGGGAAAAGUCACGCGUUCUUCUGCUGGUGUCCAGUCCAUAUCUGUGUCUUCCUGAAAAGAAGCCACGCCUGCUCCCCUGGGACGGAAGUGCUUACUAAAUUUGUGUUUCUCUCAUGCUCAAACAACACCCCUGUAGCCAGCCGGAUAACUUAUAAUGGAUAAAAUAGUGAAGUAUAAACCCUUGCGUGGAACGAAACAGCGGGGACGAGUUGGAAACCUUU
rnacentral:lncRNA from 1 species